rnacentral:rRNA from 1 species
UGUUUCGGCAAGGGGGUCAUCCCGACUUACCAACCCGAUGCAAACUGCGAAUACCGGAGAAUGUUAUCACGGGAGACACACGGCGGGUGCUAACGUCCGUCGUGAAGAGGGAAACAACCCAGACCGCCAGCUAAGGUCCCAAAGUCAUGGUUAAGUGGGAAACGAUGUGGGAAGGCCCAGACAGCCAGGAUGUUGGCUUAGAAGCAGCCAUCAUUUAAAGAAAGCGUAAUAGCUCACUGGUCGAGUCGGCCUGCGCGGAAGAUGUAACGGGGCUAAACCAUGCACCGAAGCUGCGGCAGCGACGCUGAUGCGUUGUUGGGUAGGGGAGC